rnacentral:rRNA from 1 species
GAUGAACGCUGGCGGCGUGCCUAAUACAUGCAAGUCGAGCGAACAGACGAGGAGCUUGCUCCUCUGACGUUAGCGGCGGACGGGUGAGUAACACGUGGAUAACCUACCUAUAUGACUGGGAUAACUUCGGGAAACCGGAGCUACUACCAGAUAAUAUAUUGAACCGCAUGGUUCAAUAGUGAAUGACGGUUUUGCUGUCACUUAUAGAUGGAUCCGCGCCGCAUUAGCUAGUUGGUAAGGUAACGGCUUACCAAGGCAACGAUGCGUAGCCGACCUGAGAGGGUGAUCGGCCACACUGGAACUGAGACACGGUCCAGACUCCUACGGGAGGCAGCAGUAGGGAAUCUUCCGCAAUGGGCGAAAGCUUGACGGAGCAACGCCGCGUGAGUGAUGAAGGUCUUCGGAUCGUAAAACUCUGUUAUUAGGGAAGAACAAAUGUGUAAGUAACUAUGCACGUCUUGACGGUACCUAAUCAGAAAGCCACGGCUAACUACGUG